UGUGCGGGAUUAAUUAUUGUGACCUUCUGUUUUGUGUAAACUUGUGUGCACGUCUGUGGGUUACGUGUUUCCCCAUUUCGUGGGUUUUGCUGGACAGUUUAAGUCCCCCUGUUUGGGGCGUUUGUUUUGUUAUACGCCCUGUGUUUUCGUGGGGUUGGCUUAUGUUCGCCGUUUUUUGUGCAUUAAAGUAGCACUCCCCUGAACUCUCUGCUUCCUGCGCCUGACUUCUCACCCACUACACUCAGAACGUUACAAGUGUCGUGUAUGAAGAAUCCAAUACUUUAACUUGUCUGGGGUACAAAUGUUUGAGAAGGAAUCUCAAGUCAUGAUUGGCCAGCAGCAGCUUCUCCUCCUGUGGGCAUGGACGUUGCUGGUGGCAGCGCUGUACCCAGGUGCCCUAUGCAAACGUGAGGUGGAUUCAGGAGCUGGGGUAAGAAUGUACAGGGAUUUUUUUUAACCUUUAUUUAACUCGGCAGGUCAGUUAAGAACAAAUUCUUAUUUUCAAUGACGGCCUAUCAAAAGGCAGAAGGCCAUCUGCGGGGACGUGGACUGGGAUUAAAAAUACAUUUCAUUAAAAUAUAGGACAAAACACAGAUCACGACAAGAGAGACAACACAACUCUACAUAAAGAGAGACCUAAGACAACAACAUCAGCAGCACAACAUGGUAGCAAAACAUGAGGCAAAUCGCCCACCUCCAAGAGCGGUGGCUCCUCCAGACAGGGGCUGAAGAUGGCAGGGGCAGCAGCCGCCGGGGCACUGGGUGGGGCUGCCAUUGAAUACGGGCUGGGGUCACUCGGUAGGCCAAGACAUGGCUACGGGGGGCGUGGGUAUGGCUACGACGCAUUCUCGUCUGAGGAGGACCAGAGAUUCUACAAUCCUGGCGCCGCUACAGAAACGCUGCUGGCCCCGGACAUGGCCCCAUGAGUAACAUCCUCCUCACACUGGGAUCAAUGGUACCAUUCUUUUUUGGGGACUGGAUAAGGGGAAUCUGGUCAUAGAAUCUACUUCCUGGGAAAUUAUUUAUCUGAAUUACUGGUCCGAAAGACCAGUGAGUGGACUUCAAAACUAUUUUAAAUAAGUCCUGAUCUUGUUGUCCUUUGGCAUAGGCCCACCACCACCUUUACAAAGCUAUACUCAUUGGAACGUCAUUACGGAUGGGGGCUCCUAUCUUAUUGUGUUGUAAAAUCAUGUGUCACUUGUUACUGUCAAAAUGGACUGUGCUAGAUCCUUUUUCAGCUUCAUCCACUGUAAUAACUGGAUGAACUAAGGUAGGAGGCUGCAAACAAUACAUGUUCCUAUUAACAUCUACUUUGCUGUGAUUUUGCUAAUGUUAUUACUCAUAUUUGGCCAUGGCAAUAAAUGUGUGAUUAUUCACUAGCUUUUAUAUCUGCUAAUAGCAAACAUUUGUUUUUGUAACCCAUAUUAAAGUAAUAUCAACCAAUUUAAUAUUAUUUUCUAUGGAUUUGGUAAUAUGGGAUUCUUCAUAAUACUUGCAUUACCUACUCUGGUCCACUAAUAAAAUAUAUAUUUGUGUGUGUGUGUCACGCCCUGACCUUAGAGAGCCGUUUUAUUUCUCUAUUUGGUUAGGUCAGAGUGUGAUUUAGGGUGGGCAUUCUAUGUUUGUUUCUAUGUUUUGGCCGGGUAUGGUUCUCAAUCAGGGACAAAUGUCUAUCGUUGUCUCUGAUUGGUAAUCAUACUUAGGCAGCCUUUUUUCCUUUUGGUGGUUGUGGGUAGUUGUCUUCGUUUGUGCAUGUAAAGCCUUACGGAACUUCACGGUCGUUUUUUGUUGUAUUAUUGUUUUGUUGGCGACAUUUGCAAAAUAAAGAAAAAUGUACACUCACCACGCUGCACCUUGGUCCAUUCCAUACGACGAUCGUGACAGUGUGUGUUGCUUUAUUACGUUCAUUAUGAUGCAUGUGACAGUUAAGUUCAGGACCAUAUAGAGACAACAUCGAUAAGUAAAGGGGAGCAGUAAAUAUGAAAUAAAAAGUGUUUCCCCUCUACAUUUGGAUUCAAAUAAAUAAUAAAAGAAUGUAAGGAAAACUCACAACAUAGUACUUUCAAAUAUAAGCCUUGUGUACAAGGCUUCUGCGAAGAGAAAACAUUAUUUUAUUUUUAAAGUAUCCCAGAAACACAAAAACUGGUUUUGAUUUAAUAAUAGGGCCUUAGUUCACAAAAAAAUACAUGUUUUUGUGUAUGAGAUGAGUUGAGAUCUUUGUGUUCUGAUGUAAAGAUAGCUUAAGGAUCAUUUAAUAGACAGUAACGGGAAUUGUAAUGCUGCCAACUUGCAGGCAGAAACCCUGUCUGUUCGAUUUUCUCACACUGUAGUGACUGUUCUGUAACAAUUUCCCUUGAGGCAAUUAGACUCCUAGCAACAGAUGUGUCUCUAAAAGCUUCAAUGUGCUCUGUGAGAUUGUCACUGUAACUGCCCUCAUGUUUUCUAAGAGAGAAUGGCUGAUCAUGUGAUAUAUUUAGUUUUUAUUCAUCCUGUACCUUGAAAAUGGAAGAAGACUUUUGCGAUAUUUAAAUGCCAAGUAAUAUUCACCAUUUAGUUCUAGCAUGGCAAAGGGGUUAUUUUAAAUUUCCAAAACACAUUAAACCAAUGUGUGUUUUAUGUUCAUCACUAAAUACAUGCUUGGGAAAAAAGGAAAAGAAGAGUCGUUUAUAUCCAUUCGGCAAGAUAAAUAAGUGCACUUCUGAUAACCAGGGGACAGGAGGAAAUGGAGAGGGAGACUAGAUGGGGAGGUAGAGAGGUAUGGGACAAGAGAGAACUAAAGAAAAAUAGGAACAGGCAACUUUUAAAACCAAUUGCUGAAGACCACAUAAGAUGGACUCUUUACAGUACAAAUAUAAAUAUCACAGUAGAGUAUAAUGUACUGUUUAGUUCACCAAAAAAUUAUUCUGAGCAAAUUGAUUUCAAGCUAAUAUCUGGCAUACAGGCGACAAUGCUUUAUGUACUUCAUAAACCACACUGGCAAAGACACUGAAUACCCAGAGUCAGAUGAUAGUUG